UACGAAGGGGGCUGGCGUUGCUCGGAAUCACUGGGCGUAAAGGGUGCGUAGGCGGGUCUUUAAGUCAGGGGUGAAAUCCUGGAGCUCAACUCCAGAACUGCCUUUGAUACUGAAGAUCUUGAGUUCGGGAGAGGUGAGUGGAACUGCGAGUGUAGAGGUGAAAUUCGUAGAUAUUCGCAAGAACACCAGUGGCGAAGGCGGCUCACUGGCCCGGUACUGACGCUGAGGUGCGAAAGCGUGGGGAGCAAACAGG
rnacentral:rRNA from 1 species